CAGGAGUAAUUUAAAUAAAUACAGACAAUAAUAGUGUACAAUCAAUGAGAUUAGGUAAAAUUAAAUAAAAAAUGUAAAAUAAUCAAUUAGUCAAUAGUUGUUUCACAUGAACAUAAAGUAUUUUUAAAGUCUGUUGAAUAAUAACUCUUAUAACAUUAAAAAAAAAAAAAAAAUGGUAAAACAAUAAAAUAAUUUAAAUUAAAUAUUUUUCAAACCAAAUAGGUUUCGAGUAUAAUCAAAUU